UACGUAGGGUGCGAGCGUUGUCCGGAAUUAUUGGGCGUAAAGAGCUCGUAGGCGGUCUGUUGCGUCCGCUGUGAAAACUCGGGGCUUAACCCCGAGCCUGCAGUGGAUACGGGCAGACUAGAGGUAUGCAGGGGAGAACGGAAUUCCUGGUGUAGCGGUGAAAUGCGCAGAUAUCAGGAGGAACACCGGUGGCGAAGGCGGUUCUCUGGGCAUUACCUGACGCUGAGGAGCGAAAGUGUGGGGAGCGAACAGG
rnacentral:rRNA from 1 species